UGGGGAAUUUUGGACAAUGGACGCAAGUCUGAUCCAGCCAUGCCGCGUGCGGGAAGAAGGCCUUCGGGUUGUAAACCGCUUUUGUCGGGGAAGAAACGAGUUUCUCUAAUACAGAGACUUAAUGACGGUACCUGAAGAAUAAGCACCGGCUAACUACGUGCCAGCAGCCGCGGUAAUACGUAGGGUGCGAGCGUUAAUCGGAAUUACUGGGCGUAAAGCGUGCGCAGGCGGUUAUGCAAGGCAGAUGUGAAAUCCCCGGGCUUAACCUGGGAACUGCAUUUGUGACUGCAUAGCUAGAGUACGGUAGAGGGGGAUGGAAUUCCGCGUGUAGCAGUGAGAUGCGUAGAUAUGCGGAGGAACACCGAUGGCGAAGGCAAUCCCCUGGACCUGUACUGACGCUCAUGCACGAAAGCGUGGGGAGCAAACA
rnacentral:rRNA from 1 species